ensembl:lncRNA
GCUAAAUUGCCUCUAGAAGAACUUUGUAACAGCAUGCUAGGGAUUUUGUAUGUAAGCCUGUCUGAAUAUGCAGAUGAGUCCCAGAAAAUUGUCCCAUGGCUUGAAGACUAAUGGGACGUAGCUGUGGAUAGCCCUUUAGACACAAGAAGACAACAGUGCUUGAUUUUAAGUGGAAAAUCCAUUGGAAAAAUGGAUUUUAUAAUGGCAAGUAUUGGCUGGAGCUUUGUGGAAUCACGCAGAAAUGGAUCCUUGAACCUAAGAUAUUUUUGAACACCUUUGAUUACCCAAAACUCAUUGUUACAUCAUUGAUUCUCUCAAAGCAAAGUACUUACUCCCAGGAAUUAAACAAUAUCAGUGACUGGAAGUGGGAUUGUGAAAUAAUCCUCACCACAAUUAACAGCCUGGGACAACUGUAAAUUUUUCCAGCAAAGAAAAAGGCGACAAAACAAGAAGAAAUUGGCUUCAUAAAAAUCCUUAUGGUAGCCUUAGUUCUCAGUUGUUUAAAUCACUGAAAUUUUGAUGAGAGAAUGGAGAUGUCACAAAACGUUGGGGAUCAGGAGACUUAUGGAUCGUCAUUCUUGUAGCAGCACCUGAAAUGAUGGGGUCUCCUUCAGAGCUACAUGAUGGUGCAGCUUUGCCAGUGGACUGGGAGAAGAUGGCACCUGAAGUGCAUUUCAUGUUCCAGUUGGGAGAAAAUUCAGAACAGAGAAGAAAGGAAUGCAAGUAUACAUCUUUCAAAUCUGACACUGAUGAGUUAUUUAAAUCAAUACUUGCCUGUCAAAAAUUAAAUUCAUGAGGGAACUUUUAAGAACACGUUCUGCCAAAUGAGAGGACCUAUAGCUGCUAUCAUCCUUCAAGAAUGACACUUGAAUUUUAUCUAAUUGUAAUACUUCCAUGUUUAAUUACUAAGUGUAACAUCACAUGCUCAUCGACAAAUAAAGAUUAAAA